rnacentral:lncRNA from 1 species
CUCCUGAGACAGGGUCUCACUCUGUCACCCAGGCUAGAGGGCAGUGGCAUGAUCAUAGCUCACUGCAGCCUCAAACUCCAGGGCUCAGGUGAUACUCCCAUCUCAGCCUCUCAAGUAGCUGGGACUACGGACAUGCACCACUGUGCCCAGCUAAUUUUUUUUGUAUUUUUUGUAGAGAUGGGGUUUCACUAUGUUGCCCAGGCUGGUCUUAAACUACUGAACUCAAGUGACCUGCCUGCCUCAGCCUCCCAAAGUGCUGGGAUUACAGGCGUGAGCCAACACACCCAGCCUAUUUUUCCUUUUAAAAGUCUGUUAUGCAGAAAUACCAUUUGACCCAGCAAUCCCAUUACUGGGUAUAUACCCAAAGGAAUACAAAUCGUUCUAUCAUAAAGAUAUAUUCACAUGUAUGUUCACUGCAGCACUACUCGCCAUAGCAAAUACUUGGAAUCAACCUAAAUGCCCAUCAUUGGUAUUUGAAAAUAAAAUAUGGUACAUACACCAUGGAGUACUAUGCAGCCAUAAAAAAGAAUGAGAUCAUGUCCUUUGCAGGAACAUGGAUGGAGCUGGAGGCUGAGGCAGAAGAAUCACUUGAACCCGGGAGUUUGAGACCAGCCUGGGCAAAAUAGUGAAACCCCAUCCCUACAAAAAAA